UUUUAUGCAUGAGCAAAGAAAGUGGUUUCUUCAGAGAGAAACUACUCCUAGUGAAGAUGCUGUGAA
rnacentral:pre_miRNA from 1 species